ACCAUAUCUUGUUGAAAGAGCAGUUCUCGUCCGAUUACCGAAGUUAAGCAAUGUCGGGCAUGACCACUACCUAGAUGGGUGACUGCUUGGGAAUACCAG